AGUAAAAUAACUGGGCUCUAAAACCAUAAUCCUGAUCCUAGCUAGCUAGCUAUGGCUGAACGUGACAGUGCCAAGAGAAAGCUAUUUCAACAGUUUUCAACUCCUAUGCCAGUGUUGAUGUAACACCCAAGGCAGCCAAGGCCAAGCAGCAUGAGAAGCGACCCCAGAGUCGAAUUCCCCUCAGGAGCAACACUAGAUCUAACCAGCUAGUCAUGGUUGAACACAGAGCCAAGAGAAAGCUAUUUCAACAGUUUUCAACUCCUACUGCCAGUGUUGAUGUAAUAUGUACAGUAACACCCAAGGCAGCCAAGGCCAAGCAGCAUGAGAAGCGACCCCAGAGUCGAAUUCCCCUCAGGAGCAACACUAGAUCUAACCAGCUGGUCAUGGUUGAACACAGAGCUAGAGCUAUUGAUGAAACAAAACAAUGUCGACAGUUGUCCACUCAUACUGCCAGUGUUUAUGUAAUAUGUACACCCGUACCCAGGCGACCCCAGAGUCCAAUUCCGAGCAGCACUAACCAGCUAGCCAUGGCUGAACAUGUCGACAGAGCUAGAGCUAGUGGUGAAAGAAAGCGACGUCGACAGUUGUCCACUCCUACUGGAAUAACACCCGAGAAGCCACCCCGCAGUCGAAGACUUCCCCUCACAGUGAAAAACAGCACAAGCUCAGUUGCUCAACAAUCCGGUGCCUCGUGUACACCCUCUCCGACUACUUCAUCGAAAUGGAAAUUAAAGGAAGAUAUAGCAAUUGUAAAGUUUAUUCUAUUAUCAACACCUAGCAAUUGUUGGCCUGCAAUGUCUGAGAAUUUCUGGAAGUCAGCUGCUCUCUUUGUACACCAAGAAGCCAAGAACCAUUGCGAAGCAGUUUGGCGUGUAGCUCUCGAGUGAGGAAGAUUCUCAGCAAACACUACACAGCACCGAGGGAAGCAGAAACAGCCCUCACGGCUACACGUUCUAAACACCCUAAUACAACACCCCUCAUGACACUCCCUGCAAGAGUAUCUUCAGAGCCACAAGCUCUGAGUAUCUCUUAUAUUGAUACUGGAGAAUGCCAGGUUAAUCUCGUAAUGGUUGACAAGCUUCAGAACUUCAAACGGCAGGUUCUAAACCUUCCACCUUAUGUAUGGAAGAGCAACACUCCCUGAAUCUGGUGCUCGUUCAACUAGGAUGACCUUCCAUAAUUUACCCAUUCCAAUGCCACCACCACUGGAAAGCACUCAACAUCACCUAUUUGAACACUCAUACGCUCAAUAAACUUCACUCCAACAUUAUACUUCUUAUUGUGUUCAAUUAAGCAAUAAUUUAUAUGAAAAUCAAAUUAUA